CUUUUGUCUUUCUUAACAUCUGUACUCCAGUUUUAAGCUUUUGUAUACCCAAAACUCGAGUAUUUUAUUUGCCUUAAACCCAUUUUAUUUUUAAGUUUAAAGCUAUCGGCUUUGCCUUUCCUCUUAAACGAACUUUAGGGUUUAAGAUGUUCUCGGCUACGGGGUCUGAAGUAGCCUAUUGGGGCACUGGUGUUUUGCUCAUGCCGCUACAUUUCCCUGGGAGCUUGUUUUUGCCACAAAGGUCCGCAGACAGCGCAGCCGAUGCCUGCUAGCGGGGUUAUGUUACUGGUCCGGCAUAAGUUGCAGAAGACUUACGUAUGCAGCGUAUUGUUGGAAAUCAUGGAUUGACAUUACUUCCGAGUUUGGAAUAGGGAAUGAAGCCAUUGGUCCUUUUAGCAUAGGAUAAAAUUUAUUGUAAAUUAUAUUUAUCGAAUCUUGAAAUUAUUUGGAUUAUGGAACUAUGCUGCUGCUGUCAUUCGUUCACUUAUGAUUUUAAUGUUAUUCUGCUCUUGCUGUUGUAUUUUCUU